CGCUGGCAGCCGAGUGCGGUUUUGUAUCGGAUUUGUAGAAAAGCCGCUGUUCAAGCUGGGGGCGCUCUGUUCCCUAGGUGGGGAAAGUCCUUGAAUUAGCCAAGCUGAGCAGCUGCUGAGAAUUCCGAGCGUCGUGUCCCAGUGAUUCUUGAUACCAUUUUUAAAUAGUUACCAUCGAGUUGAGACAAUAUCAAGUGGAUUUGUUAGAGUGGCAGAAAUUUUUUUUUUGCCUGGAAGUGUGUUGGGAUAGGCAGCCUUCAUUCGUGUCAGAAUGAAUCGGUCUUCCUUCUUUUCACUUUUCUUCUUUCGGGAUUGCCGGGCAUUGGGGAGAAUAUUUGGCAUGAGGAAAUGAAAAGCACGAGGGAAGCUCCAUGUUUAGGCACCUGCAGCUUCUGAACAGAUGAAUUUGACUCAUUAUUGCAGACGUUAGCAGAAAAUUUGGAACUCGAACUGACUUUAAAUACAAGGGUUCUGUAUUUUGUUAUUGCUGUUCAUUAUUGUCUGAAAUACUUUUGAUUAUAUAAUUUUUUAUUAAAUUAUUUUGAAUUUUUUUGUUCAGGUUAUUACUAAACUCAAGAUUUUAACACCACUAGAUAUAAUGAUGUCAAACUGCUUGUGAUGCAGGGAAUAUGCACUAUGAUAAUGGAGCAUUUCAAGUGGGGCUGAUGUAUCAUAGAAAAGGAAAAGAGCACUGUCAGAGAGGACAGCAUUCCUUGGAAUAGCAGGACUUCUCUUCUGCCCUUCACAAAGCAAGAUCCCAAACUGUGUCAUAACCUGUCAAAGAACCGAGGAUAUGCAAGCAACGAUCCCAAACCUGGAAUGGACUGCCCAGGGAGGUUUGGAGUCUCCGUCCCUGGAGGUGUCCAUGGAACAGCUGGAUGUGGCACUCGGUGCUCUGAGCUGGGUGACAAGGUGGGGAUCGGUCAAGGGUUGCACUUGAUGAUCUCGGAGGUCUUUUCUAACCUCUAACUGGGAUUUCCAUAUUUCAAAGGGUUGUCUGCGCUUGUCCAGCUCUAAGCCUGCUGCUCUGCCCUUGCCCGGAAGCUGCCAACACAAUAAACUAGCAAAAGUCAUCGCAUGGUGCUCCUGGGUGUUUCUUUCUGGAAUAAAUGUGAAAACGUGCCUUAGGGGCACGUGUAACAAGUCCCAUUAUGGCUGUUCGUGGGGACAAUUAAGUGGUGAAAGAGCUCAUGCUGCGUGAAUGAACAAGUGAAAUAAAGAAGAAUUC